rnacentral:misc_RNA from 1 species
UCUCCGUUGGUGAACCAGCGGAGGGAUCAUUACUGGAAUCGCAAGAUCCCACAACCCUGUGAACCUACCGAAACGUUGCCUCGGCGGGUGCCCGGCCUCUGCUCCAGGCGAUGUGCCCGCCGGCGGCCCCCUACUCUGUCUCUGCAGCGUGGCAUCUCAGAUUCCCAGAAAACAAGUAAAAACUUUCAACAACGGAUCUCUUGGCUCUA